rnacentral:rRNA from 1 species
GACGAACGCGGCGGCGUGCCUAAUACAUGCAAGUAGAACGCUGAAGGAGGAGCUUGCUUCUCUGGAUGAGUUGCGAACGGGUGAGUAACGCGUAGGUAACCUGCCUGGUAGCGGGGGAUAACUAUUGGAAACGAUAGCUAAUACCGCAUAAGAGUAGAUGUUGCAUGACAUUUGCUUAAAAGGUGCAAUUGCAUCACUACCAGAUGGACCUGCGUUGUAUUAGCUAGUUGGUGAGGUAACGGCUCACCAAGGCAACGAUACAUAGCCGACCUGAGAGGGUGAUCGGCCACACUGGGACUGAGACACGGCCCAGACUCCUACGGGAGGCAGCAGUAGGGAAUCUUCGGCAAUGGACGGAAGUCUGACCGAGCAACGCCGCGUGAGUGAAGAAGGUUUUCGGAUCGUAAAGCUCUGUUGUAAGAGAAGAACGAGUGUGAGAGUGGAAAGUCACAACU